rnacentral:rRNA from 1 species
CCUACGGGAGGCAGCAGUGGGGAAUCUUGCGCAAUGGGCGAAAGCCUGACGCAGCCAUGCCGCGUGAAUGAUGAAGGUCUUAGGAUUGUAAAAUUCUUUCACCGGGGACGAUAAUGACGGUACCCGGAGAAGAAGCCCCGGCUAACUUCGUGCCAGCAGCCGCGGUAAUACGAAGGGGGCUAGCGUUGCUCGGAAUUACUGGGCGUAAAGGGAGCGUAGGCGGACAUUUAAGUCAGGGGUGAAAUCCCAGAGCUCAACUCUGGAACUGCCUUUGAUACUGGAUGUCUUGAGUGUGAGAGAGGUAUGUGGAACUCCGAGUGUAGAGGUGAAAUUCGUAGAUAUUCGGAAGAACACCAGUGGCGAAGGCGACAUACUGGCUCAUUACUGACGCUGAGGCUCGAAAGCGUGGGGAGCAAACAGGAUUAGAUACCCUGGUAGUCCACGCCGUAAACGAUGAUUGCUAGUUGUCGGGAUGUUUACAUCUCGGCGACGCAGCUAACGCAUUAAGCAAUCCGCCUGGGGGAGGUACGGUCGCGAAGAAGUUAAACGUUAAAAGUAAAGUUAGUUACGGUCGUUAGAGAGUUGCCGACGGACGACGACGAGGGAGGAGG